AUUGAACGCUGGCGGCAGGCCUAACACAUGCAAGUCGAGCGAGCGGCGGACGGGUGAGUAAUGUAUGGGGACUGCCCGAUAGAGGGGGAAAACUACUGGAAACGGUGUCUAAUACCGCAUAUUGCCGGAUUACCCAUUUGGCUUUAGCUAGUUGGUAAGGUAAUGGCUUACCAAGGGGACGAUCCCUAGCUGGUCUGAGAGGGUGAUCAGCCACAAUGGGACUGAGACACGGCCCAGACUCCGACGGAGGCAGCAGUGGGGAAUCUUGCACAAUGGGCGCAAGCCUGAUGCAGCAAUGCCGCGUGUAUGAAGAAGGCCCUAGGGUUGUAAAGUACUUUCAGUCGGGAGGCGUUACCGAAAGAAGAAGCAACGGCUAACUCCGUGCCAGCCGCCGCGGUAAUAC
rnacentral:rRNA from 1 species